UCAUUUAUAUAAUAUUUUUAUUAAAGUUUAAAUUAUUUAUGUAAAAAAAUCAAUAGUGAAGUGUCCAUCCAUCUUCUUCUUCAUCAUAUCCAUCCCUUCUCCUCCAUCUCAAUUCCCCCAAUUCCACUGCAGUCAUAAUCAAACAGUCCUCCUACUCAAUCCCUCACCUCACAUUAAGAAGAACCCAACUUCACCGACCGAAAGCAUCUCGAUGUUGCAAUUCUUCAUACCAGUAACCAUCGUUCCUCUUCUCCCCGACAUUUACCUCUCCCAGAUCCACUCAUCAGAAUCGAUUUCCUCUCCUUCCUUGGCUGGUUUCAAGGCCAUCCUCCUUGCGAUAUAUUCUACGAAGGUAAAAUCCAGGGUUGGGAAACCUGUUCUUGCUCAUACUCUAGAUCUCUCGUAGCCAUCUCUGUAUUAAGCUCUGAAAAUAUACAAAUAGGGAGCUCGUCGAUGACUUGUUGACUGAAAGGUCAAAGGUCUCUAACCAUGAUGAACAUGAAGCAAACCCGGGAGGAAUCAAACCGGUGAUUUUUUUGAAGAUAGAUUGAGAUUCCCACAAGACUUGGAGAUAAAUCGUCGACGAAGACUUGCCAAAAUCUUGCCGUGGAAUUGGUUGCCAGAGCCACAAGAACUUUGAUUUCUUCUUCCACAUAUGUCGUUGUUUCGCCGGAAGACGUUAAAUAUGCGAGACUCUCGCAUAAAUGGAGGAGAUGAGUACCAAUAUCGUUAGAGAUUCUAUUGCUAGAGACAUCGAGGUGGGAGAGAGUUGGAAGAGAGGAUACAAAUGAGAUGGACGGUGUAGAUGGAUAAAUAAAAAACAAUUUCAUUUGAAAUUAAAAUAAAUUAAUAAUUAUCCAAUCGGAUAAAUAUAACCUUGAAAAA
rnacentral:lncRNA from 1 species